CCACAUGGUGCAUCUGGGGCGGCUUGAAAAGCGGGAGAAGUCUCAAGCUUUUUCUUAUGACUCCUACUAUAUACGGAGGGGAGAAAACUACCAUCCCCAUGAUUCCUUGCGCCAGAAAUAAUUACGAGCUUGGUUUUGGUUGCGCAGGGCUUACUGGGAAAUGUAGUUAUUUUGACUAUAGACCUUCAGGUUAUGUUGAGCUGCAGAUUCUAUAGUGUAGAAUUAAUACACUGGGUUGCUGUGAGUUUUCCGGACUGUAUGGCCAUAUUCCAGAAGCAUUUUCUCGCCUGCAUCUGUGGCAGGCAUCCUCGGAGGUUGUGAGCUCUCUUUUAUAACAGUCUACUUCCAAGGAAUUCAAGCCUCAACAGACUUCCAACACUGGCUUCUGAACUCAGACUCAAGCCUCAACUAUCAUUCCUCAACUGUCAUCUUUUUAAACUGCAUUCUAAACAAUUACUGAACCAGUCACAUGGUCUACAGCCCCUCCCACUGCCUCAAGCACAUAGAACUUCUUUGCAAACCAAAGAAGACAUACACUUCAAGAAAUAAACGACACAUUAUAGACAGACAAAACAUUGGAUAGAGGAGGCUUGAGAAGGUUGCCAUCUCCAACUAAUUGCACAUCGACUAAUGGCAACCCUAAGAGUUUCAUCCGUGUUUUCUUAGGAGUGGUUUCACCAGUUCCUUCCUCUGAAAUAUAGCCUGCAGUACCUGGCAAUCCUUGGCAGUCUCUCAUCCAAGUACUAACCAUAGUUGGCCCUGCAUAGCUUGCAAGAUCACAAGAGAUCUCAUGCCUUUAGGGUGUUUCGGUGGCUCUUGAAACCAUCUUUCAACAAAUGUGAGAUAGGAACAUGUUUUAAAUAAGGCUAAUGUAUUUACAGCAGUGAGGUUUCUAUACACUUGUGAUGGCCAGCUCAGACCAACGGCGGGAAGUGGCUGGAAGGGCCAAUGGUGGAGAUGGAUGUCAGCAGCUCCCAGCAAUCUCCCCAGCUUGGUUCAGUCAAUCAUUGCUGAGGAUGACCCACCAGCACUGACAGACACUCCACAGCAGUCUGAGGUAAAUACAGCAGAUCCAGCCAGCAUGGAGUUAAACAGAUCUCCAGCUUUAAGACCUCAUCACAUUGAGAAAUAUUCCAUUUCUGAGACUUAUUUAAGAUUAUUUCCAACAGUCGCAUGAUGUUUACCCCAUCCCGUUGGAAAUCCAUCUGGAAAACAGUAUAUUUUUAGGUGUUAUUCUAACUGUACUAUUUGAAAAACGAUUGAGUUUUCGUGUAUGAUCAGGAAAUCAGUAUGCAUCCCAUCAGCAACUUGAAAUUCGGAUGUGUGUCUGGGGGCGGAGUCUCAUGACCCACCAUUUCUGUUUGGGAUGUCAAACAGGAUGUCCCAAAUAGAAAUUGCCACUUUACCUCACUUUUUAAUUUAUUUUUUAAAAAACAAGAAUCUGCACAUUUUCUUCCUCUGUCAUAUUUGCAUUGAGGCAACUGAUUUUUUACUUUUAUCUAUUACAACUCCUCAGAAGGAGAAACAGCGUUGUCAGAAGCUGUUGCCUCAAGUUCAGUCUGAAGUAGUAACUGCGGCGGCAGCAUCAGUAGAUGCAACAAAGGAGCCAUAUCUAAUGAAUCAAUAAUCUAUCAUUUAGAAAUCCAAAAAGAUUACAUUCCUCAGAACUCCGUACUAUAGAUCUCUGUAUUUUGUGCCAAAAGGUAGUGAUCAGGCAAAUGCAUUUACUAUGCAGACGGAGAAUGUUUUCAAAUCUUGCAAGAACAAUAAUUUGCCUUGUGCACUGUGCCUCUGAUAACACAGCAUAAUCACAACAACACUCAAUUACAUUUAUUGCCGGUUGCUGUCUUUACCCAUAAUUGAGGAUUGUGGGUACAAAAGCUUCAGUAAGUAGAACAUAGUGUAAACUGUGCGUUCUUGAGCACACAUAUUUAAUUAUAUUAGGUGGAUAUUCCAUCUGAAUAUUAGGAAGAACUUCCUGACUGUGAGAGCUGUUCAACAGGGGCUGGGCUGUGGCGCAGGCUGGUGAGCAGCCUGCUGCAAUAAAUCACUCUGACCAUGACGUCAUGAGUUCGAGGCCAGCCCGUGGCGGGGUGAGCACCCGUCAAUUAAAAAAUAAAAAAUAGCCCCUGCUCGUUGCUGACCUAGCGACCCGAAAGAUAGUUGCAUCUAUCAAGUAGGAAAUAAGGUACCACUUAUAAAGUGGGGAGGCAAAUUUAGCUAAUUUAUGAUGUUGGAAUGAGGAAGUGCUAUCACAGUGGAUGAUGAAGCAGCUGCUUCCCCUGUGGCCAGAAUCGAACAUCCCCUCAGGAGAAGGUUGAAUUGCCUCUGCGUCUUGUCUCUGUUCUAUGUGUAUAUGGGCAUUAAAUGUUUGCCCUAUAUGUAUAUAAUGUGAUCCGACCUGAGUCCCCUUCGGGGUGAGAAGGGCGGAAUAUAAAUACUGUAAAUAAAUAAUAAAUAAAUAAAACAGUUGAACUUUCUGCCCUGGAGUGUGGUGGAAGCUCCUUCUUUGGAGGUUUUUAAACAGAGGCCAUCUGUCAGAGGUGUUUUGAAUGCGAUUUUCCUGCGUCUUGGCAGGAGGUUGGACUGGAUGGCCCACAAGGUCUCUUCCAACUCUCUGAUUCAUAGUUAACAAAAUCUAUUAAGCAGUGUGUCAGAAUCGAAGUAUAAUUACGGUAUGUGGUGAGUCAAUUAUCUAUUACUGACAUAAGACGGAAGGAACAGAUCUGCCACCCCGCUAUUACUGUUACCUUUCACCCUCCCUGUACCAAUAACUUUGCUCUGUCUCAAACUCCCGUUUCUUGCUUUAUAGUGUGACAGUGAUGCAAUACUGUGCUUCUCUACCUAUCCUCUGUUUAAAGCAGCAUUCUCUAUUUUGUAUGCAUUUAUAGAAAUAUGGUUUAAUGUGAAUCUUUUAUAGAAACACAUUUAAAAUGUGUGUUAAAAAUUUUCCAAUGUUUGUGUUUUAACUAUGCUGUAACCCGCCUAAAGCCACAAUUAGAGGGGAGUAAGAAAUAAAAUUGUUGUUGUUGUUGU